GUUUCUAUAAAACAAUUUUAGUUUAUUUAAAGACAUAUUUGUCCAAAUGAAACGUUUUGACAUACAAAGAUUUAUUGAAACAUAAAUAAGGAAUAAUAAAAUUUGGUAGCCUUUUGGUCACUUCCGCUUCCCACGCCGAUUCUUCGUAAUUCUCGUACAAAGGAUUGCCUGCAGUUGUAUAGUCAUGACUGUCCACAGACAUCAAAGGAUGAAAUUGGAAUUACCAGUCCGGAAAACGAUUUUAUAUAAUUCUUGCUAAGUGACAAGAUUCUCAAGUUUUUCAAGGAACUGACCCCCGCAAUUUUCUCAAUCAUGUUUGCUGACAGGCUUAAAAUACUUAAAAUAUAUUUUUUGUAAUAAAAUUACUACAAAAUGGA